UGCAGGUGUGGCCUGGGGGGGGGGAAGAGUCAGGAGAAGGAGGCCUCGUUAUCUCUUUCACUUGGCCUGCUUCCGGCUCCUGGACCUGAUCCAGGGAGGCCAGUGCUUCUGAGUAUAUACAGUAUGUGAUCACCGCAGAUGGGGACGACAGCCAAGAAAUUAAAAGACGCUUGCUCCUGGGGAGGAAAGCUGUGGAAAAUCUAGACAACAUACUAAAAAGCAGAGACAUCACCCUGCCAACAAAAAGAGAAAGUGGCUUGUGGAAGGAGUGAAAUAUCAGCCCUGUAAUCCCUUGCAUCAGGGUGGAAUUGGGACCAUGGAAUAGAGCUGAGCAUUUACUGACUGGAUGCCCUUCCCGAUGCUUAUGCAAAGUUCACAGUAGAUAUUUUCCCUUUGCACCCAGAGAGAGAAAUAUCUGCCACUACCUAGGAUUGAAUUCACAGCUUCCUGAUUGUGAGGCAGCUGCGAUUUCUCUGCCAGGACUGAUAAGAGCCAUGAAUCCACUGACUGAAGGCCAGCUCAUUGAUCCGAAGUGGGGAAGGAGACAGAACAGCUCAUUGCUCAUUGCAUACACGCUCCGGCCAGCUGGUCUUCACAUGCGUGGGAGUGCUGAAAACCGGAAGCUCAGCAUGCUGGGGAACUGCACUUCCAGUUUUUCUGGCACACGAGUACCAGGGAGCUGCUCUUCUGUUUUUAGGCACUCCCUUGUUUGCACAUGCGCUCCUGUUUUAGCAUUUGGUGCUGAAAAGGUUCAACAACACUGAACUAUGACAUUAGA